GAUGAACGCUGGCGGCGUGCUUAACACAUGCAAGUCGAACGAUGAAGCCCAGCUUGCUGGGUGGAUUAGUGGCGAACGGGUGAGUAACACGUGAGUAACCUGCCCUUAACUCUGGGAUACGCCUGGGAAACUGGGUCUAUUACCGGAUAGGUGCGUCCACCGCAUGGUGGGCGUUUGAAAGAUUGAUCGGUUUUGGAUGGAUUCGCGGCCUAUCGGAUUUGUGGUUAGGUAAUGUCUUACCAAUGCGACGUCGGGUAGCCGCCCUGUGAGGGUGACCGGCCACACUGGGACUGAGACACGGCCCAGACCCCGACGGGGGGCAGCAGUGGGGAAUAUUGCACAAUGGGCGAAAGACUGAUGCAGCGACGCCGCGUGAGGGAUGACGGCCUUCGGGUUGUAUACCUCUUUCAGUAGGGAAGAAGCGAAAGUGACGGUACCUGCAGAAGAAGCACCGGCUAACUACGUG
rnacentral:rRNA from 1 species